rnacentral:rRNA from 1 species
AAUGAACGCUGGCGGCGUGCUUAACACAUGCAAGUCGAGCGGUAAGGCCCUUUCGGGGGCACACGAGCGGCGAACGGGUGAGUAACACGUGGGUGACCUGCCCUCAGCUCUGGGAUAAGCCUGGGAAACCGGGUCUAAUACCGGAUAUGACUCCAUGACGCAUGUUGUGGGGUGGAAAGCCUUGUGCGGCUGAGGAUGGGCCCGCGGCCUAUCAGCUUGUUGGUGGGGUGAUGGCCUACCAAGGCGACGACGGGUAGCCGGCCUGAGAGGGCGACCGGCCACACUGGGACUGAGACACGGCCCAGACUCCUACGGGAGGCAGCAGUGGGGAAGUCUUGCGCAAUGGGCGAAAGCCUGACGCAGCGACGCCGCGUGAGGGAUGACGGCCUCGG